UCGGCAGAUGGGCGACGACCUACAUCGAC
rnacentral:sRNA from 1 species